CCUACGGGUGGCAGCAGUGAGGAAUAUUGGUCAAUGGUCGCGAGCCUGAACCAGCCAAGUCGCGUGAGGGAUGACGGCCCUGAGGAUUGUAAACUUCUUUUGUCAGGGAAUAAAGUGAGGCACGUGUGCCUGUUUGUAUGUACUUUAUGAAUAAGGAUCGGCUAACUCCGUGCCAGCAGCCGCGGUAAUACGGAGGAUCCGAGCGUUAUCCGGAUUUAUUGGGUUUAAAGGGAGCGUAGGUGGGUUGUUAAGGCAGUUGUUAAAGUUUGGGGCUCAACCCUCAGAUUGCAAUUGAUACUGGCAGUCUCGAGUACAGUAGAGGUAGGCGGAAUGCGCGGUGUAGCGGUGAAAUGCAUAGAUAUCACGAAGAACUCCGAUUGCGAAGGCAGCUUACUAACCUCACACUGACACUGAUGCUCGAAAGCAUGGGUAUCAAACAGGAUUAGAUACCCGUGUAGUC
rnacentral:rRNA from 1 species